ACGCCGCGUGAGUGAAGAAGGGUUUCGGCUCGUAAAACUCUGUUGUUAAAGAAGAACAUAUCUGAGAGUAACUGUUCAGGUAUUGACGGUAUUUAACCAGAAAGCCACGGCUAACUACGUGCCAGCAGCCGCGGUAAUACGUAGGUGGCAAGCGUUGUCCGGAUUUAUUGGGCGUAAAGCGAGCGCAGGCGGUUUUUUAAGUCUGAUGUGAAAGCCUUCGGCUCAACCGAAGAAGUGCAUCGGAAACUGGRAAACUUGAGUGCAGAAGAGGACAGUGGAACUCCAUGUGUAGCGGUG
rnacentral:rRNA from 1 species